AAAGAGUGUUAUUCGUCAAAAAACCCACACAACGACGGUCAUUUUUUUGCCGUGCUAUUGUAAAAUUGUUUUUUAUCUGUGUUUUGUGAAGCCGUGGAGCUCGAGAUCCUGUUUACUGUGGACUAGCUGUGUGUGACGCCAUGUUGUUUUUGUUUCCAUUACAAAAAAAAAGCUCCACCGUCUCGCCGAGUGCCAGCAAGAGUCAUGAGUACUUGUCAACUCGACUCCUCAACUGGAGAUAACUUCCUAG